rnacentral:rRNA from 1 species
GACGAACCGAGCGAACGUUGUUCGGAAUCACUGGGCUUAAAGGGUGCGUAGGCGGGCUGCCGCGUCCGGGGUGAAAUCCCACGGCUCAACCGUGGAACGGCCCCGGGUACGGGCGGCCUCGAGGGGGGUAGGGGCGUGCGGAACUGUGGGUGGAGCGGUGAAAUGCGUUGAUAUCCACAGGAACUCCGGUGGCGAAGGCGGCACGCUGGACCCCCACUGACGCUGAGGCGCGAAAGCCAGGGGAGCGAACGGG